AGGCGGGACAUAAAACCCGGACGGACCGGUUUCCUCGUUCACUUCCUUCUCUGCUCUGUUCGAGGUGGCGUAAGAGUCGGAAACAACUUACUGCAAAGGUGUGAGGACUGGUGAACACCACAUAAGGUGUACCUAUGCCAAUCAAGAUGACUGAAAAGAAUGAAGGACUUUGGCAGGUUGGUCUGCCCUGCCCUCUCACUAAUCUCAAAGCAGCUGCAAAGUGCAGAGGUGGGGGUUUGAACAAGAAGUUGGGGAAAGGAUGCCACAUGGACACCUCAACAUAGCCAUGAGUGGAUUCUUGAAGAGGAAGGCAUCCAUUGAAGCCUCAUGUGACUGCACAAACGGCAUGCUGAGGCCUUUUCAUCAAAGGUACCUACUGGGUUAUGGAAGUUGCUGCCUUUUCGCCAGAGUUUACCCAGGUACCUAGCUUUGGAAGAUGCCAUCUUCUCUACAACAAAGGGCUGCCUUUGGAUGGAACUACCUAGAAACAAGGUGACUAGGUCUGAACUUCAAUGUGUGAACUGAAGACAUAGUUAUCGCAAAAACAAAGCUCAAACAAUUGAGGUUUGAUGCUUUCAGACUGUGUGGAACAGCACCCACCUGGGACUGCAGCAGGUGUGGCAGCAUGAAAUCUUUGGCUUGAUCUUGUUGGUUUGACGCAUCGGACUUGAGUGCGAGAACCAGACACCUGGGAGUGCUACAGGAUGAAGUCAUCACUUGGCCUUGAUCUUAUGCUCACUGUGAUAUGUUGAAUUCAUCUGGAUCUGCUGCAUUGGGAUCUAUGAACUUGGGUGCCUUAUCCAGCAGCAGUGUUCAACUGCCAACAGGAUUGCUGUGGUUCCUCUAGAGCUCAAGGGAUGGUCCAGAAAAUGGAAUGUGAAUCUUCCAACUGCUGCACUGAUUACAUUGUAAUGAUUAUCCUGAGUUCAUUAUUCCAUGGUUGUCUUAAAACAUGAUCUCAUUCAGAUAACUGCAAGGAUUUUUUUCCAAAUAAAGCUAUUAAAACUG